rnacentral:rRNA from 1 species
GAUGAACGCUGGCGGCGUGCCUAAUACAUGCAAGUCGAGCGAACGGACGAGAAGCUUGCUUCUCUGAUGUUAGCGGCGGACGGGUGAGUAACACGUGGAUAACCUACCUAUUAGACUGGGAUAACUUCGGGAAACCGGAGCUAAUGCCGGAUAAUAUUUUGAACCGCAUGGUUCAAAAGUGAAAGACGGUCUUGCUGUCACUUAUAGAUGGAUGCGCGCUGCAUUAGCUAGUUGGUAAGGUAACGGCUUACCAAGGCAACGAUGCAUAGCCGACCUGAGAGGGUGAUCGGCCACACUGGAACUGAGACACGGUCCAGACUCCUACGGGAGGCAGCAGUAGGGAAUCUUCCGCAAUGGGCGAAAGCCUGACGGAGCAACGCCGCGUGAGUGAUGAAGGUCUUCGGAUCGUAAAACUCUGUUAUUAGGGAAGAACAUAUGUGUAAGUAACUGUGCACAUCUUGACGGUACCUAAUCAGAAAGCCACGGCUAACUACGUG